rnacentral:rRNA from 1 species
AUUGAACGCUGGCGGCAGGCCUAACACAUGCAAGUCGAACGAGCGGCGGACGGGUGAGUAAUGUAUGGGAAUCUGCCUGAUGGAGGGGGAUAACUACUGGAACCGGUAGCUAAUACCGCAUACCAUCAGAUGGACCCAGAUGGGAUUAGCUUGUGGGUGGGGUAAAGGCUCACCUAGGCGAAGAUCCCUAGCUGGUCUGAGAGGAUGAUCAGCAAAACUGGAACUGAGACACGGUCAAGACUCCUCCGGGAGGAAGAAGUGGGGAAUAUUGCACAAUGGGCGCAAGCCUGAUGCAGCCAUGCGGCGGGGAUGAAGAAGGCCUUCGGGUUGUAAAGUACUUUCAGCGGGGAGGCGUUACCUACAGAAGAAGCACCGGCUAACUCCGUGCCAGCAGCCGCGGUAAUUC